rnacentral:rRNA from 1 species
AUUGAACGCUGGCGGCAUGCCUUACACAUGCAAGUCGAACGGCAGCACGGGAGCAAUCCUGGUGGCGAGUGGCGAACGGGUGAGUAAAGUAUAGGAACGUGCCCAGUCGUGGGGGAUCACGUAGCGAAAGUUACGCUAAUACAGCAUACGAUCUAUGGAUGAAAGCGGGGGAUCGCAAGACCUCGCGCGAUUGUAGCGGCCGAGAUCAGAUUAGGUAGUUGGUGGGGUAAAGGCUCACAAAGCCGACGAUCUUUAGCUGGUCUGAGAGGACGACCAGCCACACUGGGACUGAGACACGGCCCAGACUCCUACGGGAGGCAGCAGUGGGGAAUUUUGGACAAUGGGCGAAAGCCUGAUCCAGCCAUGCCGCGUGCAGGAUGAAGGCCUUCGGGUUGUAAACUGCUUUUGUACGGAACGAAAAGGUUUGGCCUAAUAAGCUGAGCUCAUGACGGUACCGUAAGAAUAAGCACCGGCUAACUACGUGCCAGCCGCCGCCGUAAAAC